rnacentral:miRNA from 1 species
CGCGGCCGGUACUGAUCCUGCA